GGGACAGCUGAGGGCAGAUCGGCUUACCGGGGUCGGGGUCCCGGUCGCGGCCCCGCUCCUGCCCCCGGCAAGGCGCCGCAGGGCUGCCCGGAGGCCGGGCAUCACCUGGGGAGGGGGGGGCAGCGAGCCCCUGCUGGACCCGGCGCCCUCACCCGCCUCGUUCAGAUGAACUUGGACCACUGAAACUGGAGAACUGGAAGUGGAGGAGAGGGGAAGGAGAAAUUCUGCAGUUCGGCUGAGGCAGCGUUUCCAGAAGAAGCCAGCAAGCCCCAGAAAUGAGAUUUCAGCUGUCUAGUACAAUUUCCUUAAGACCCUUCUUUUCAAAGGUGCUUGCAGUGACUUUGAUGGGAGUUACAGACAAUUCACACUUCUGGUCCGAAGUCAUUCCAGAACCCCCCUGAUAAACGCUCUGCUUAGUACUGACAGUGAACUUCUCUUCCACGAACCAUUCUCACCUUUGCCAGGAGAUCUGUUAAAUUUUACAGGAGUUAUUACAUUGACCAAAUGAGGCCCAUAUACUGACACUAAACACUGGAAGGAGGUAGCAGCUCAGCAUGUUGCAGAGGAAAUGUACCCGCCGUCGGGCAGAGAGAGCUUACCCUGCUGUUCUGAAAUGAGUUAGGUUUUCUCCUUACUAGUCUGCAAGGCUUAGAAGUGUCAAUUAAAUCAGUAAUAAAAUAUGGUGUUACGCAUGCAAAAUAUACAGGGCUUGGCAUGAAGGCUUAUUGCAGCCUGGAUGCGGUUUGCUCAGCCUUUACUUUUAGAGCUAACUUGACGGUUCACAUGUUCCAGUGGAGAUGGUGUUUGGGGGUGGGGCAUUAAAGUCUUCAGAUUCCCUCAUCAGUUCCAUGCUUUGCCGUGAGCAUUUCUGGCUUUGAGGUCUCACACGAGGUCUGGCUUUGCAGUGAAAUUUUAA